UGCCCGGUGGUGUAGUGGUAGCACACGGGACUUUGGCUCCCGUGACCCAGGUUCGAAUCCUGGCCGGGCAGCCA
rnacentral:tRNA from 1 species